rnacentral:rRNA from 1 species
CUCUUGAGAGACUCUCAAGUAGGCCCUGCCCGAUGAGGUGCUUAAAUGGCCGCAGUAUUCUGACUGUGCAAAGGUAGCAUAAUCAUUUGUUUCUUAAUUGGAUCCUGGUAUGAAAGGGAGGACGAAAUACGAUCUUUUGUAAAUAUUUAAUAAUUUGACAUAAGGGUCAAAAGGCCCUUAUAUAUCUGGGGGACGAUAAGACCCUAUAAAACUUUACCCUUAUAAGAGCUUAGCUAGAGGUAAGAAUGUAAAGAGGGUUAAACUGGGGCGGUUUUUACUAAAUCGGUUUAAUUUUAAAUAUGAAAUAUAGACACAAAUAACUUGGUUAAGAAUUUAAACAAGUUACUUUAGGGAUAACAGCAUAACCCCCUUGGAGAGUACAGAUUGGCAAGGGGAUUUAUGACCUCGAUGUUGAAUUGGGGCCUCUCUCUUGGGCAGCAUUAAGAGAAGAUAGUCUGUUCGACUAUUAAAAUCCC